CUUCUUGCUUCUGCAGAACAUAUACCAAAAUUGGAAUGAUACGGAAGAGAUUAGCUUGGCCACUACACAAGGAUGACAUGUCCAUUUUGUUGGCAGAGUAUU